rnacentral:rRNA from 1 species
GAAUUACAUGCCCUUCAGUGGGGAAUAGCCCAGGGAAACUUGGAUUAAUACCCCAUGGUAUCGCAAGAUUAAAGGUGGCCGCAAGGCUGUCGCUGAAGGAUUGGUUCGCGCCCUAUCAGCUUGUUGGUGAGGUAACGGCUCACCAAGGCUACGACGGGUACCUGGUCUGAGAGGACGAUCAGGCACACUGGAACUGAGACACGGUCCAGACACCUACGGGUGGCAGCAGUCGAGAAUAAUUCACAAUGGGGGCAACCCUGAUGGUGCAACGCCGCGUGGAGGAUGACGGUCUUCGGAUUGUAAACUCCUGUCAUCUGGGAGUAAGACCUGGCUGUGAAUAGCAGACAGGGUUGAUAGUACCAGAAGAGGAAGGGACGGCUAACUUCGUGCCAGCAGCCGCGGUAAUACGAAGGUCCCGAGCGUUGUUCGGAAUCACUGGGCGUAAAGGGAGCGUAGGCGGCGUGGUAAGUCAGAUGUGAAAUCCCGGGGCUCAACCCCGGAACUGCAUCCGAUACUGCCGUGCUAGAGGAUUGGAGAGGUAGCUGGAAUUCUUGGU